rnacentral:rRNA from 1 species
GACGAACCGUACGAACGUUAUUCGGAAUCACUGGGCUUAAAGGGUGCGUAGGCUGCGCGGAAAGUUGGGUGUGAAAUCCCUCGGCUCAACCGAGGAACUGCGCCCAAAACUGCCGUGCUCGAGGGAGACAGAGGUGAGCGGAACUUAGGGUGGAGCGGUGAAAUGCGUUGAUAUCCUAAGGAACACCGGUGGCGAAAGCGGCUCACUGGGUCUCUUCUGACGCUGAGGCACGAAAGCUAGGGUAGGCGAACGGG